ensembl:lncRNA
AAAACUCUAGAAAAACACCAAGUCGCCCUUCCUCUGUGAACUCGGUCCGCUCAAGGAGGGUCUCUCCACGCUGGCACAGGGGCAGGGGUCUCUUGAAAGGGCUUACUUAGAUGCACGAGGCCAGUAUCAGAUGCAGGAGCAGCAACAAGGCGCGCUUGUCACCUUUGACCCAGACAGGGACCUAGAAGGGCAGAUCUUCAGGUCAGGGAUGCGAUUGGAAGAGCUGAAGGAGUGGCUGGAGCAAGCAGAACAGAACAAACCCAUUUCUGAACCUCCUUCAGAUGUGCUUUCGUUGUCCAUUCUGGAGACCGAACCUCUGCCUGUGAGUCCACUGUCUGCUGCCCAUCCUGAGGCUUGUGUUGGCGUGGAGGUUAGUUCAGUUAGCGGAGAGAGUGAUGUAGACAGAGAGGAAGAGGAGAUCCUCCCAUUUCUUCUUCAUCCCCUUUAUGACAAACACCAGCGUGUGGGGAAAGACUUCUGUAAGCUCAUGGACUGGCAGGCAGCAGCAGAUUGUGUCCCUCCCUCCGGCCCAUCUGUCAGGUCACAGGUGUGUGACUCUAUGGAAACACACCCAGAGGCUCUUUGCCACUCCUCGGUGUUGCCAGGGCAACUGAGCAGGGAAAGGAAAGCAGCAGGAAACAGGAAAACUCAAAGCAGUAGCCUGACCAGCCUAGCAGAGAGAACAGAACCCAGAACUAUGGGCUUAAAAGCAAAGGCCAAGACUGUCAGAGCAUCUCCUCUGGAUGGGGUCAAGUCUCCAGAGACAGACAGUGGCUUCAUGGGCUCUGAGAUCAGUCAGCUCACUCCUGCUGUACACAGUCCUCUCCAGCAGAGGGCAGUGGUGAGGUUUUCUCCAGUUCCAUCAGGCCAUCUGGCCCACACACAAAGAACAUAGAAAGACCAGAGUCUGCUCCUCCUUCUAGACAGCCUUUUGCGGUCUCCCCCUCUUGUUCACAACCCUCUUCAGAUACCCCAGGAGAACUCAUCAAGUCUGAAGGAUGCACAGGUCCUGUUAGGAGGAGAGGAGGGGAGGAAGGGGGUUCUUCUUCCAGCCUUUCUCCCUCAGUAUCCUCCAUUCAUUGGCCCAGUAGCACCCUCCUGCCCUGGCCAAGCAGCCUGACCAGCCAAUCAGAGCACGGGAGUGAUCAGGGGGAUGAAAAAGCACAGGAUGGCCAAUAUCCACAUCCAGCCAACCAGCAGAUCCGCUCUCACAGAAGCCCUUCCCUCCAUGUGCCUUAUCACCACGGUGACCACUUCGAAGCCCAAAGUUCCGUUCAGCUAACAAAUCAGCAAGAGGCUCUUCAAUCUCUACAGCGAGAGGUGAACCGACUGAAGGAAAGACUAGAGGGAAAUCUGAGACUCUCCAAACCUGCCAGUCCUGUUAGAGUGCCCACUUCUGCCACAGAAGAUGCCAGGGAUCAGGCAUCCCCACGGACCGCAAGGUCUUCAGACAGGAGAAGGCGGCAGACAGAGAGAGUGAGGAAUGAAGAACAAGAGAGAGGAAACUCAACAAGACGCACUCUGAAGCAAAAAUCUGUGUCUUUACCUCAACAUCGGCCUCAAACUGAUCUGACAACUGAUUCUGAGCUUGUCCAGUCUGAGCCACGACCAUCAACAUUCAGACAUGUCCUGGUGUCCCCAGUGACAUCAAGAGGAAGAAGAGAAACCAGAGGAUGUGUACAUCACAAAGAGGACAGUACCUCAGGCAUAUCCAACAACAGUGAUGAAACCGAAUCAAGCCGAGGGCCAGAACCUGCCUGCCCACAUUGCAUAUCAGACCGCACUGGUACUUUGACACCUCCAGUGAGGAGUAGGAGCUCUCCACAUCUCAAACAGCCUUCCUGCAACCAUUGCCCAUUGUGUGGUGCAUUACAAGCCAAUCAAAGACCCUCUCAACCAGGUUUGAUAAUUCAUUAUCUAUAA